GCACACACACACACAGAAGAGACCCCACACAAUAUUAAAUCUGCGGUUCCUCACUGUCACUCUUUAGAUGGAGGGAUGUUAGUUUUCCUCCUAACCUUUCCUCCACCCAACCCCACUUUUCAGGAGGAAGACUCCACCAAGGAGGAGGAGGGCUGGCUGCAGUGCGGGGCUACAGUCCCCCAAAUCCAGAACAGGAAAUCUUUAACAAUAAGGAGAGGCGUAAGUGCCAAGAGGGAAACUUGGCAACUUCACCAUCAAAAAGUAUUUAUACCCUGCCCUUCUCACCUGAAGGGGACUCAGAGCGGCUUUAUAGAGCACAUAUAGAGCAAGCAGUCAAUGCCAACUAUACAAUUAAC
rnacentral:lncRNA from 11 species